rnacentral:rRNA from 1 species
UGGGGAAUUUUGGACAAUGGGCGCAAGCCUGAUCCAGCAAUGCCGCGUGUGUGAAGAAGGCCUUCGGGUUGUAAAGCACUUUUGUCCGGAAAGAAAACCUCGUGGUUAAUACCCGUGGGGGAUGACGGUACCGGAAGAAUAAGCACCGGCUAACUACGUGCCAGCAGCCGCGGUAAUACGUAGGGUGCAAGCGUUAAUCGGAAUUACUGGGCGUAAAGCGUGCGCAGGCGGUUCGCUAAGACAGAUGGGAAAUCCCCGGGCUUAACCUGGGAACUGCAUUUGUGACUGGCGGGCUAGAGUAUGGCAGAGGGGGGUAGAAUUCCACGUGUAGCAGUGAAAUGCGUAGAGAUGUGGAGGAAUACCGAUGGCGAAGGCAGCCCCCUGGGCCAAUACUGACGCUCAUGCACGAAAGCGUGGGGAGCAAACAGG